rnacentral:lncRNA from 1 species
AUCUCAGCUCAAAUUAAUUAAGAUGAGGCUAAUCACUAUGACUCUUCCAGUUUUGGUGGUUAUGUUAGUUUUGACAGGUUUGGUGGAUCAAGGGGAGGGCACCAUGUGCGCAAGCACCUUCUUCUCGUCUAUUGUUCAGCUAAUACCUUGCAGAGCAGCAGUUGUUCCUUUUAGCCCCAUCCCACCAAGUGAGACUUGCUGCAAUGCCCUCAAAGCUCUUGGCCAGCCUUGCCUAUGUGUGCUUGUCAAUGGCCCUCCGAUUUCUGGCGUCGAUCGUACCAUGGCAGUGCAGCUCCCAGAGAAGUGCACUGUCAACUUUGAACCAUGUACUCUCUAGCUCCUCUCUGUUACUUAACACAAUAGUGCUAAAAAAAAAGUAGGUUCCUGAAGCAAUAUUUUUCACCCAUUUGAACUAAUAUAUUGUAUAAUGACUUUUACUAUAUAUGUUUAUAUUGAACCUGCUUGUUUAUUGGUAAUAUUGUAAGAAUCUUUAGCGGGGUUAAAAAAAAAGAGAAAAGAAGAAAACGAACAUCUUUCCCUUGUGUAUUUCUGAAAAUUUAUAAUUGAUGAAUCUGGUGUUUUGUUUUCUCUGAUGCAGGUGAAAUCAUGAAUUAAAGAAGUUGAAGCAUAGAGCUGAGGAGUAUUCUGGAAUAAGUGUCUUGGAGUUAUAGGGAUCCUUUUGGUUGUUUAAUAUUUAAUGCUGCUGUUAAUAAGAGGCUGUAUUUUUAGAACUUGAGAUUAUGCAGUGAACCCCUUGGGUUUUAAUUUGAUUUCUGAUGUAAUAGAUUACUAGUUUAUUUUAAUAACUACGUAUUAUUUACUUGAUAAAAAAAAAAACAAAAGCAUGUAUUAUUUACUUGUUCCUUUUACCUGGAUAUCCCUUUUGGUAAUUCUAAUUUUUUUUCUUCUCAUCAUCAUUGCUUUUCCCCCUACUUUCUAAGUGAUUAUGCCAGUUGGCCGAGGCAUCCCUUAGAGUUGAUGACAUGCAGCAAUCAAAUUUGACUCUUUUUACACAAUCUAGAGAUAUUGUAGUCUCUAUUCUUGACUUUAUUUACACGAGAAAAAAAACCAUAAUUCUUUUUUGGCAUCAGUGAAGAGAUCUUGUAAAUGCUGCAAUAUCUUCAUUCUUGCAAUUACCUCUUGUCAAGAAAACAUUUGUGACAAAGGGAAUUAAUUGCUCAUAAUGAGUCCAUAAUCCAUAUGCCUAAGUUAUUAUUAUUAUUUUUUAUACAAGUGAUAUUGAAGAAUGAGAAAAUCGAACCUAGAAUCUCUCAUGAGAUAUAUGUCUAAACUUAUUUGGCAUAUAAAAUUGACACCAAUCUCCGCCAACAUUCGCGGGCUUGACUAAAAUGGUUCUGCAUCCAAAUUGGAUUUCAGCUGAAAAUUCAGCCUUCUUAUUAACUAUCCAAGGGGUUAUACGUGACUGGCGUUCCUCUUGCAAAAUUCAUCAGUCAAACGGAUCAACAAUCGGGGUUAUAUAUUGGCACCUCGACGAGGUCUGCUGCUCACACUGGUCAACUAAACCUAAAGUCAUAAUUGAACAUCUGUAAUAGUAUGGCCUAAGAAUUAACAACAUUAUCUAUCCUAACAAAUCAGAAUUCAGUGAGUGACUUUUGUCCAAACUAAUACAAGUCUCCAGUGAUCUAAUCAGUGUUCUGCUCUGAAUCUAAUUACCUAGUUGCUCAAACUUGUUGGAAGCCAUGAGCCCCAUGACUGAUUUCCAGUACUACUUCAUCUGCUUGAUCCUCUUGUUGACGCUCGAUACACACCGAGUCCAUCUGCCCAAUAAAAACUCAACACGUAUGCCUCGUGCACUGCGCUAGAGGAAACGAGUAAAUUUACCCUCGGUCUUGGACUCCCUGGAAAUAUUCAAGAGGAUUCAAAUCAGCCACGUAGAUGACAAAACCCCAUUUGACUGCUGACUCAUCAUACCUCAUAAAGCGUGUCUAGGUCCUUUCGAAAGUCAGGUGUAAACCACCCGGAUCGCCACCUCACCAGAUGGGAAUGCCACUGUGCGCGACAGGCCACUUUGCCCACUCCCGCCCCUAGUGGAAAUACGAAGAGGUCAUCAUGAGCAGAGGACGUGGACUAACCCCAGCCACCCAUCAUCUGACAGAUCUGAUGUGACAUAAACGGCUCGGUUCCGAGCCGAGCUGGCCGUCUUGUAAUUUAAUUCGUUUGGUUCCCCUAUAAAUGGAGCAAGGAUUUUUGUAAAAAGAGAGAUUGAGAUCCCUCCCGAAAGAAUGGAAUAAGAAGAAAAGUCUUGUCAUUUGCCAUAUAUUAUUUUCCUCCUUAAAGCUCUUUUCCCUUUGAAACCACUUUAAAAUAACUGUACUCCUUUGUGUUAACCACUUGAAUAUUUGUGGUUCAAAUAUUUGGCGCCUUCUGUGGGAAACCACACUCAAAGGUUACGUGUUAGCUACUCUACUACCGAUGAAGGGAAUCUCUACCCCUGGCACUCCCGAUCAAAGAAGUACGAAAUGCCAGAGAGCAGAAAAACAAAGAAUUAGCACCCUUGAAGCCAAAGUUGAACUGCUCCUUAACAGGGCCGAUACCAUGCAAGAUCUAAAUAGAACUCUCCAGGACCCCAACGAGCACUUAGAAAAGUAGCAGAUCGGUCUCCAGGCGAACCUAUGGAAAGCCUAGAAAAGGGCCACCAGGGAUUCAAGUAGUACCAGGCGGGUGGAAAGGUGCCUGUUUGGCAAAGAGUCAGCGUCAACUCCUAUGCCUCAAACUAACAACUCUAGACUCAGUCCUGCCCCCGAGGGUAUCAACCCGGAAGAAGACGCCCUCGUAAAACUCAUCCUGCGCAAAGGAAAGGGCCACGUUGCUUAGACUGACAACCUCGUCGCCCCCUAGGGAGGCCGACCUAAGAGCGGCGAUGAAGGCCAUGAUCAAAGGUGAAAUGGGAAGUGUCUGGGACAGGCUUGGUAAGGUCGAAAAGACCCACAACUUGCUCGUCCGCUAUUUUUUCGAGGAUGAAAUCCCUCUCCCCUACACUAAGGAACUCCUCGAGGUAGUUGUCGUCGGUGAAACGAAGGCACCGAAAAUUGCCCUCUACGAAGGACUUACAGACCCCACAUGACCACAUUGACAGUUUCCACUAUGCAAUGGAAGGAAGGUGGGCAAACGAGGCCACCAGAUGCAGACUCUUCCUGACCACCCUGAAGGGAGCCGCCUUGAACUGGUUUAAAUGGCUAAACCCCGAAUCCAUCAGCUCAUUCGUCUACGAUCAUAUCAAGCCAGUUGUACACUACCAAUGAUAUCUUGUUCGUAAAAUAGAAAACAAACGAGUCUCUGCGGGAUUAUAUCACCCGUUUCAAUAACGAGUAUGCUCGCUGCGAGGGCUGCGACAAUGCUACGGCUCACAAUGCCCUCAUGGGAGGGUUUCAGGGAGAAAGCUUCUUUUCUACCUCACUCAAAACCCCACCCCCUCCCCCCGAGAUGUAUAAAGACCUCUUCCGAGAGCAGACCACGAGCGCCGAACCCUCUCAUCACACCCAGGACUCGCGAAAAGGGAAUCCAUAAAAGAAAAAAAUCGACAAUAGAAACACAUCGAUCAGUGGAACGUCCUCGAGCGCUACCCAAGUUAUACGCCUUUGAAUACUAGCAAAGGGGACAUCCUAGCAAUCGCCGAGAAAGAGGUACCAGCUCCGUGCCAGGGUCGAAAUGAAUACAUAAGGAAAUGAGAUGAAGCUCGGUACUGCAAGGUACCAGCACACGUUUAGCCACUUAACGGAAGAUUGCUACCAAUUGAAGGAAGAAAUCGAAGCGUUGGUGAACUCAUGCUUCGGUCUCUCAAAAACUAAUAUCCAUAAUCGGGGGAGGCCCCUCACUGGGUGGAGACACCAACAAGUCCAGGAAGCGAUACGCUCGAUCGCUUGGCCAGACAACCAACAAAGCCCUCUCCAUCUGUGAUGUAGCGCGACCCUCUAAACGAGCUAGGAACGGCGACGAGGAACCCAUCAUUUUUAGCCCGGAUGACGACCAUACUUCUCAACCUCAUAGUGAUCCGCUGGUAAUCUCUAUUGGUAUCACAAACUGAGACAUAACUCGAGUCCUUAUCGAUAAGGGGAGUUCCUCCAAUCUCAUCAUCGCGCCCGUAUUCAACCAGCUCUGAAUAAAAUCGAGCGUUACUGGAUAAAAGGACACCCUCGCUCUAUGCCUUUGGAGGGGCCCAGGUACAACCCCACAACAAUAUACACCUUGACCUAACCAUAGGAGACUCUGUAAGUGCUAGUCGGCUUAAUAUCACAUUGUUACCAGCGUCAGCCAUCCAUCGACCAGACGUUGCCCUUAGCUACAGACCCCAUAUUCACGAUUGACCUCUCACGAUCACGACCGACAUAGCACGGCAAGACGCCCCCUAUGUCAUGUUGAAAAAACAGAGCCUAGUUAAUAUUUUGUUCUCUCCCGUGAUCUCCAGACUCAGAUUAGAGUCUAGGGUGCUCGCUCCCUACCACCAAGUGCUGCAUGCUUUUGACGGCACGAGGGUGCGCGUCUUCGGCUGCAUCAACCUCCUCGCCUUGAUUGGGCUGUUUCCGGCAUAGGCUGGAACGGUGGCAGACUUCAUGGUGGUUGACCAUCCAAGCCUUGCCCGAGCUGGGUCAUGCGCGCUGGAGCUGGCUUCCAAGCCUAGGGCCCCCCUCCUGCCUAGGCUAGCCCCUGGUGGUGGACUUGGUCUUAUACAACUCUACUAAUUCCCAGGUCUUGUUCUUCCUGAUACCACUUGUUAUACUUUAAGCCGGAACAAGAACUAAAAUAAUGAACAAAGAAAAGGAGCACAAACAAUUUAAAGGUUCCUCCAAUAUAGGAGUACCUGCAAUGAAACCUUUUAUUAAACUCAAUGAAAGAGAACUAACAAACUCUCAAUGGCUCUCAAAAUCAUAAACAGAUGCCUCACUCUCCAAUAUCAGACUGCUCCUAAGAUAAUCUAUUUAUACUAAAUUGAUGACAACCAAAUCCUACUAUACAUAGGAAACCAAAAACUAAACUAAGAAUCCAAGACCAACUUGAAAGCUUGCGUCCAAACCUCCCAAACAUAUUACAACUUGGAUUCCUAACUUAGCUAGGAAUACAUAAUCGAUUUCAUACCAAACUUCAACAAGUUGUUCAGAGAAUGGUGAGGAAGCUGAAAAAUAAGAGGUCACCUUGUAAUGCCGAACACCAUGCUUGUUUAAGUCAUUAGUCAAGCUCAUAGCAGCUUGAUUGUGUGUGGGAGCAUUUUGGUAGUUAGCAAAAUAUUUUAUUUUCUUGUAUUUGGUCAUUAUAAGUAACUCUUCAAGCAUUCUGAUGUUUCCUUUUCUUCCAUAACUUAUGAAAAUGCUCAUCAAGAGGUGACUAGUCGGUGGAAUGGUGAGCUAGUUCACUUGUAUAGAUAGGUAAGCAUGCUUGCCAUCAAUAUAAGCCAAUCACUCAUUGUCCUGUGUGUUGCACUUGCUAUUGUGCAGCUUGCUUGAUGCUUGUAUAAUAUUAAUAUUGGGUGUUUGUUGCCUACCCAGUACUAGAAGUGCCACUAAGUGGUUUCUUUAAUUUCCGACCUUCAUGUAAGGAGUUGUAGUUCAAGUGGUCUUAAAAGUAUUUAACCAUGUAUUAAGUUGGAUUCCUCCCCUUUGUAUCAAAACCUUUCCAGACCUUCAUCAAUGUUGAGCUGGCAGGAUCCACUUCAGUCACUCAAUUCCACGUGUCAGGAUAAUACCGAAUUUGGACGUAUCGUAUGUCCAGUGCACUACACGCAAUCCUUUUCUCCCAAAAGAAAAGCGACACCAUUAUUACACGAAUCUCCACGCAAGCGUUAUUGUACAGAAACAAAAUAAAAAAUCUCCCGCCAUCCCUAAAUCAUUUGUAAACCCUGUAAAACCAGGAAUCUCAUCGAAUUUUGAUCCGGGUUGAAGAUUUGGAUCGGGAAAAUGGAGCUGACGGUGGUAGAUCUGAGUUUGUACUUGGGAUCGAAGGGCGAAGUGAAGGAGUUGUGCGGCGAGGUGAGCCGGAGUCUGAGAGAAACAGGUGCUCUGUUGGUCAAGGACCCCAGAUACACGGCCGAGGACAACGAUCGCUUCCUCAAUAUGAUGGAGAGAUACUUCGAUAGACCGCCGGAAUUCAAGCGACUUCAGGAGAGGCCCCAAUUGCAUUACCAGGUGGGUUCUGGUUGGUUCCCGAGAAAAUGAAAAACUGUUGCCUAGAUAUCAGAAAAAUGAAAAAUUGAAUUUCGUUAUAUCAAAAAAAAUUGAAAAUUGAAGCCCAAUUCUUUGAUUACUGAUUGGUGGCUUAUCUGGGUUUUCUUUUGAUUUUAAUUGUCUAUUUCUUUUGAUUUGUGGUGGGAAUUGGAUUGUUGUUGUUCAAAACUUGAAGUGGGGAUAAGAUUACAGGUAGGGGUGACACCAGAGGGUGUGGAAGUGCCAAGAAGCCUUGUUGAUGAAGAAAUGCAGGAGAAAUUGAAAGAACUGCCCAAAGAGUUCCAGCCAUCCAUUCCCAAGGGGGCAGAUCGCAAAUGGCGAUACAUGUGGAGAGUGGGUCCUCGACCCUCAGAAACCCGCUUUCAGGUCUCAUUCUUUGUUUUCCUUUAGAUAUUUACUUUGCACUCAUAUGUAUUGACUGUUUUAAUUAAAUGCUAUUAUUCUACUUGCCAUGAUGAUGAUGAUUAUGUUAUUCUUGUUUUCUAGGAACUUAACGCAGAGCCGGUCGUACCCGAGGGGUUUCCUGAAUGGAAAGAUACCAUGGAUUCAUGGGGUUACAAGAUGAUAUCCGCAAUAGAGGUGAGCCAUUAAUUUGAUUUUUCAGCUUGCUCAUACCACUUGCUUGUUUUGCGUAUUAUCUAAUAUUCUUCAUGUAAUUUAUGCCUCUCUUUCUUUUCAGGCUGUUGCUGAAAUGGCUGCCAUUGGGUUUGGCUUGCCAAAGGAUGCAUUCACAUCUCUUAUGAAGCAGGUGACCAAUGAUUGCCAAGUGAAACUUACAUUCAUGUCUCUAUGACUUUCUGCCACUAGUGGUGGGGCGGCGGUAUUGAAAUCAAAUAAUGGAAUCAUGAUUACUGGUUGCCUACUCUGACAGUAGUUGCCUACAUCCAUCAGUUUCCAUUCUAUCUUCUAUAUCCAUCACUUUUCUUAUCUUUAGCCACUGCGACCACCUGUGUCCCCAAAUUUGUGUGGCAUUCUGUUGAAUACCUUUUGUAUUGCUCCAUAAUGCCACUAUUAUUUUAUCUUAUUACACUCCUCUAUUUUGUUUUUUUUUCUUACAAAGAUUAAUUUGGGGUGGGCAUAUUCUUCAACCACUUUAUAGUCUUAUUAAAUACAGUGGCUUGUGAUCGUAUAUAGAGCAUGUAUUUUGUCUCCAUGCUGCCUUUUCGACAAUCACCAACUUCUGAAUUGAGUAUCUAGAAUCUCUUCCUUUCCAUUUGCCAAUUUCCUGGCUAAGUUCAUGCGAUAUAUGCUAAGUACCCUUUCUUUGUGAAUCCAGGGACCACACCUUCUAGCUCCAACAGGAAGUGACCUUCGGCGUUACGGCCAGGAGGGUACUGUGUUUGCAGGAUAUCACUACGACCUGAACUUCCUUACCAUUCAUGGCAGAAGUAGAUUUCCUGGUCUGAAUAUCUGGCUAAGAAAUGGGCAAAAAGUUGAAGUGAAGGUUCCUGUAGGAUGUCUUCUCAUUCAUGCUGGGAAGCAGGUAAGAGUAUUUUUUACCAUUGUGCUUAGUAGUUUUCCAAUAGUUUACAAGCUAGUUGACCCCCUGGAUAUGGUGGCUUUUAUGGGAAAUCAAUUUGGAUUUCAGUUGCAUCAAUUAAAUAUGACGCAGCACACGUAACAAAGGGUUUCAAGCGAAACCUUGAGUAACAAUAAAAACUGGAUUCCACCAGAAAAUUAAGAGAAGCUCUCUAGGAAUAAUGUUAUUAAAAACUGAGUUGCCAGAAACGUUAGACAAACCUGUCUAAAUACACAAUUCUCAACAACCCUCAACCCUUCAACUACUAGGGGAGUUAUUACAUAAAACUGAAAAAACAGGAUUAAUUUGGAGUCUUAAUAACGUAACUCCUAAACUGUCCAAAACAGAAUUUAUUGGAAAAUUAACUACCAAACUUUAACUGCAGUUUUGGAAGGCCAAACGACCUCAGAAUGCCAAAAUCCAUCUUAUGUCACGACAAAGCUGUGAGUUACACUCGUGGCGUCGUUCCCUUUCCGAAAUGGUAUUUUGCGUCCUAACCGGAGCUUGGACGACAAAUCUGCAUAUUCCCACUACGUCCUUUUUCUAGUUCAACCGCGAUAAAAUCUGCCAUCUGGUCUACAUCAGUCCCCUCCACCUCCGAGGAACUCGACCCCGAGUUAUGAUUUGGAUAAAGGACCUCAUCUUCACGGAACUCAUAUAAAUCUGCAACAUUAAAAAUAUUGGAUAUUCCCAUGGAAUCCGGUAACUCAAUAACAUAGGCAUUGUCAUUGAUCCGUUUGAGCACUUUGUAAGGACCAUAUUUUUUUGGUUUAAGCUUGCUAUAUGUGCCUGCUGGAAACCUCUCCUUCCUCAGAAAUAUCAUCACAGAAUCGCCUUCUUGAAAUACUUUAACUCGCCUAUGCCUAUCUGCAGCAGCUUUGUACUUAGCAUUAGUUUGCUCGAGUUUCUGCUUGACUUCAUCUCGAACGGCUACUACCUCCUCAGCCAAAUUUUUCGCUGCCACACUAGUUUGCUGGCCUCUAGGCAAUUUCACCAAAUCAACAACAUGGUUAGGUGUAGCAGUAUAAACAAUGGAAAAUGGAGACUUCCCAGUUGCACUAUGGACUGCACUGUUAUAUGCAAACUCCGCCUGCGGUAGUGCAUAAUCCCAUUGUUUUGGCUUCUCUCCACAGACGCUUCGUACCAUAUUGCCUAAUGUUCGGUUUGUAACCUCAGUCUGGCCAUCAGUCUGGGGAUGAGCAGUGCUGCUGCGAUUCAAAGUAGUCCCAAACAGCCUCCACAAAGUGAUCCAAAAAUGGCUCAAGAACUUGGUGUCACGAUCUGAUGUUAUGGAUGUAGGAACCCCAUGCAAGCGAACAACCUCCCUGAAAAACAGUUUGGCUAUGUUUGAUGCAUCAGCAAUCUUUUUGCAAGCUAUGAAAUGCGCCAUUUUUGAGAACCGAUCAACCACCACAAAUACAUAAUCCACUCCCCUUUGUGUGUUCGGGGCAAACCGAGGACAAAAUCCAUAGCAAGAUCCUGCCAAAUAUCGUUAGGAACUGGUAAUGGCAUAUAUAAUCUGGUGUUUUGUACCUGCCCCUUCGAAGUUUGACAAGUGUAGCACUUGCGCACAAUAGUUCCAACAUCUCGUUUGAGCUGUGGCCAGUAAAAUCUCUCUUCCAUCCCUGCAAUUGUUUUAUCACGACCAAGGUGGCCACUCAACCCUCCACCAUGCAAGUCCUGAAUGAGCUUCUCCCUCAAAGAGGAAACUGGAAUACACAGCUGGUUGCCUUUGAACAAGUAUCCUUCAUUAAGAAAGUAAUCUGCCAUCGGCUCUUGAUUGGUGCACUUAGUCCAAAUUUCCCGGAAAUCAGCAUCACCCUCAUACAAUUCCUUCAGACAUUCAAACCCCACAACUUCUUGAGUCAGUGUGAUUAACAUUGAAGCUCUUCUACUUAGCGCAUCCGCCACACGAUUUGUCUUGCCGGAAGUAUGCUUGAUAACGAACGAAAAUUUCUGCAAGAAAGUCACCCAUCUAGCAUGCAUUUUAUCAAUAUUUUUCUGGCUAUUAAUAUACUUCAACGCUUGAUGGUCUGUAAAUAAAACAAAUUCCUUCUGGAUAAGAUAGUGCUCCCAUUGCUUCAAAGCUCGAACAACCGCAUAGAACUCUUGGUCAUAAGUACUCCACUUUUGACGUGCAUCACUCAACUUUUCAGAGAAGAAUGCAACUGGCCGCUUGUCUUGCGAAAGCACAGCUUCAACUCCCACACCGCUGGCAUCACAUUCAACUUCGAAAACUUUCUCAAAGUUUGGAAGGGCUAAAACUGGCGCGGUGCAAAGCUUUUCUUUUAUGUCUGCAAAGCUUCUCUCUUGCUCCUCUCCCCAACUGAACCGGCCUUUCUUCAAACACUCUGUGAUAGGUGCAACGAUAGAGCUGAAAUGCCGCACAAAUCUCCUGUAAAAGGUGGCCAAGCCAUGGAAACUUCGAACUUCAGAAACUGUUUUUGGAGCUGGCCAGUCAAGGAUUGCCUUGAUCUUCUCGUCGUCAACCUGGAUACCAUUCUCACCAACAACAAAACCCAAGAACAGUAGCUUAUUUGUGCAGAAAGUACAUUUUUUUAGGUUCACAUACAGUUUAUUUUCUCUCAAAACAUCUAAAACUUGUCUCAAAUGCACAAGAUGUUCUUCUUUUGUGGUGCUGUAAAUUAAAAUGUCAUCGAAAUAAACCACGACAAAAGAGCCAAUAAAUGGUCGAAGAACCUGAUUCAUGAGUCUCAUGAAGGUGCUAGGCGCAUUUGACAAUCCGAAUGGCAUCACCAACCAUUUAAUAAUCCGUCCUUGCUCUUGAACGCUGUUUUCCAUUCGUCGCCAGGUCUGAUGCGAAUCUAGUGGUAACCGCUUCGCAAAUCUAUCUUGGAAAACACCUUUGAGCCGCUAAGAACAUCCAGCAUAUCCUCCAAUCGUGGAAUGGGAAACCUGUACUUCACUGUUAUCUUGUUGAUUGCCCGGCUAUCGACACACAUUCGCCAAGUCUUGUCUUUCUUCGGAACCAGCAAAACAGGAACUGCGCAGGGACUCAAACUCUCCCUGAUAAAUCCCUUCCGCAGUAAUUCUUCAAUCUGCUCUCUGAGGAUGUCAUUCUCCUUGGGGCUCAUCCGAUAAUGGGGCAGAUUCGGAAGGCUAGCUCCAGGCACCAAGUCAAUUUGGUGUUGUAUGUCCCGCAUAGGUGGCAGCUCGUUUGGCAGAUUUUCAGAAAGUAAUUCCUGAAAUUGAGACAAAAUCUGCUGCACAUCUUGUGGAAUGUCACCUUCUCCCCUGCCAAGUUUCAACAACCCCUUCAACACCAAGGGACAAAAACACUCUGCUUCCUUGACAGCCUCGUUCAACUCCUGCUCGUUGCUAGUUAGGGUUAGGAAACUAGAACUCCUCGUCUUAGCCUCAACAGAAGGUUUUGAGGGCUGUGUAGUUGCCAUUGCAAUUUUCCGGUUGUUCCAAGAGAACAUAAUUACAUUAUCUCGUCCCUUGAAAGUCGCAUCCACAUCAAAUUGCCAAGGCCGCCCUAAUAAAAUAUGGCAUGCAUCCAUGUCAAUAACAUCACAUAAGACAUCAUCUCUGUAAUGCUUACCAAUAGACAGCGGCACACGGCAAGUCUCAGCUACACGAACCGAAGGGCCUUUUUGAACCCAACCUAGUGAGUAAGGGCUGACAUGUGGCUCCGUUAAUAGCUGCAAAUAUUCCACCAAUUUCUUUGACACGAAAUUCUCGCAACUUCCAUUGUCGACGAUCACAUCACAAACCUUGUUUUUGAUUGAGCAGAGGGAACGAAAAAUACUAUGACGCUGCCCCUCCUCCUUUGGUGCCAAAAGAACUCUCUGCAAAACCAGGGUAAUCUUCUCCAUUCCUUCCUCAACUGCAAAUUCAGCCCCUGCAUAAUCAUUUUCCCCGACUUCAUCGUUUUCCUCAUCUUCAUCGGCUUCUUCGAUAAAGUUAGCCUGCUUCCGCUCUGGACAAACAUUAGAACGAUGCCCUGGUUUUUGGCAACGGUAACAUAUGUCCGUCAUGGGCUUAGCAUACGGAUUCUGGGACUGGUUUCGGGGUUGCCCUCUGUUGUAAUUCCGGCUGCUGCCUUCGUUGAAGUUUUUGUUUUGGCCAACUGUUGCUGGUUUUGUCAUUCCUCCAGAAUUCUGCUGCUGCGCUUUCCCCUUAUCUCCUGCGCCACUAGAAGCACCAGCAGUAUAAUCAGAGGCUUCCGUCGUAUUCCUGCGGAAGUUGGGUUGGCGUUUCUCCUUCUCCAACAGUUCAGCCUUCAAUGCCAUGUUAAUCGCCUCCUGCAAAGUCCAUAUAUUCUGCAUGCCAAUUUUUUCCUGAAUGGAAAUCUUCAGCCCAUUGUUGUACCUCGCAACCUUUUGAUUGUCAGUCUCGGUCAAAUGGUUUCGCUCUGCCAAACGCAUGAACUCUUCGGUAUAUUCAGAAACCGAACGGGUGCCUUGCGCACAGCCUAGGUACAGACGGUAGAGAAUCUGCUCAUAAUUUGUGGGCAAGAAUCGUUCCAUCAUAAGCGACUUCAUCUUCCGCCAUGUUCGAACCCGCUGUUUUCCUUGCCUCUGCCGUAAAUUUUGCAAUUGAUCCCACCAAACAGCUGCUGUAGCUUUAAGACGGAAAGCUACCAUCUUCACCAUCUUAUGCUCCGGAACCUCCAUAAUAUCGAAAAACCUCUCAACUUCUACAAGCCAAUCCAAGAAGUCUUCAAUCUUCAGAUUUCCCCAAAAGUUAGGAAUUUCUGCUUUAAUCCGAUAAUCGCCAAAAUUCUCGUAAUUACGAUUAUGAUUACGAGGAUUAUUAGCCGGUGGUGGUGGUGGUUCUUCAAGUUCUUCUUCUGACUCUGACUCACUAUCCGGAAUAGGUUGCCUCCUAUUAUCUCUUCUCUCGCCAUCCCUACCUUCUCUUCGAUUGUCCUCCCUGCCUUCUCUUCUAUUGUUGCCGCCAAGAGCUUGCAACAACAAUUCUCGCAUCUCCCCAAAUUGGUUGGUUAGGUUGUCGAUCCGUCGGUUUUGAGCAUCCAAAUCCGCUCGGGUAAUUGGGGUUGGGACAUCAGCUUCUCGAUCACCCAUGAUAAUACAAGACAAGAAUACCGAGACGGGAGAGACCCGCUCUGAUACCACUUGACGCAGCACACGUAACAAAGGGUUUCAAGCGAAACCUUGAGUAACAAUAAAAACUGGAUUCCACCAGAAAAUUAAGAGAAGCUCUCUAGGAAUAAUGUUAUUAAAAACUGAGUUGCCAGAAACGUUAGACAAACCUGUCUAAAUACACAAUUCUCAACAACCCUCAACCCUUCAACUACUAGGGGAGUUAUUACAUAAAACUGAAAAAACAGGAUUAAUUUGGAGUCUUAAUAACGUAACUCCUAAACUGUCCAAAACAGAAUUUAUUGGAAAAUUAACUACCAAACUUUAACUGCAGUUUUGGAAGGCCAAACGACCUCAGAAUGCCAAAAUCCAUCUUAUGUCACAGCAAAGCUGUGAGUUACACUCGUGGCGUCGUUCCCUUUCCGAAAUGGUAUUUUGCGUCCUAAUCGGAGCUUGGACGACAAAUCUGCAUAUUCCCACUACGUCCUUUUUCUAGCUCAACCGCGAUAAAAUCUGCCAUCUGUUCUACAUCAAAAUAACACAUAAUACACGUUCUUUAGGGCCUAACUUAUGAAAGACAAAAAUUUAAACUUAUAUUUUAACUAUAGCAAUAAUGUCAUGUGCAAGAUCUAUCUGAUUAUACUUCAAAAUGGACAGGGAGAGGGGGAGCGCUUUUCGAUUAGUAGUAAAGAUAGGGUUUAUGCACAUCUUUUGGUCAAAAAAUAAAAUACAACACAUGCGAAACAUUUGAUUAGUUGUGUUGUGCUUAGUGUAACAACCACAACCCCCCCGAAAAAAAAUAGAAAAAGUGCUACAAAGAACAGAAAUAUUGGGCGUGUUUAUUUUUAAUUCAAGUUCCCUCUUUGAUUGGAAUUGCUGUUUUUAGGUUGGUUGGGUAUGACAUGUGUUGUAUUUUAAAUCUUUAAGCUAAUUGUAUUCCAUUCACACAAAUUUUCAUGUGCAGAUAGAGUGGUUGACUGCAGGAGAUUGCAUAGCUGGAAUGCAUGAAGUUGUUGUAACAAACAGGACAGUUGACGCAAUCAAACUAGCAAAGGAGCAACAUCGCUUACUUUGGAGAGUAUCUUCUACAGUGAGUGAAGCUAGUCAUAUUGUUGUCAUUGUUACCGUUUCGUUCUUCUACUUUUAGUUGGCAUUUUAAAAGAGAUUUAUAUAAAUAAGAUUUCUCGAUGCAUCGUAUACUUAUAUGUGACAUUUCUUGCGAUGUAGUUGUUUGCCCACAUAGCAUCUGAUGCUGUGUUAAAGCCCUUAGGUCGCUUUGCAGAAUCCUCACUUGCCAGUAAAUAUCCGGCGAUUUAUGCAGGAGAGUUUGUUGAACAGGAGCUUGCAGUAAUCAAUCUCAAAGGAAACAGGGGAGAACUUUGAUAACAUGUAAUAUGUGAAAAUCAUAACUUGUUAUUUCAAUGAUAUGAAAUGCAUUUGAAGAGGCCUUUGGGAAUGAGAUGAGUUGUAAUAAAGAAGGUUGGGAUCGAUGAUUAUUAACUGUGGCCACACACACGAGGAAAGAUUGGAGAAUUAUAUUGUCUCAUUUACUGACUUUCUGUUCUUCCUCCAGCAAGAAAAUUUGUACAAUUUCUUUGGAUUCCCAAAUCGAAUAUAUAUCUCUGAUUUGUUAGUCAUGCUUAACUAUUUGUAGCAUCAAUUUCGUUUUCGUCCUUGGAGUUUAACACUUCAUAAUCGAAUAUACUUUUCUUAGCAAUUUCAGAUUGGUCUAAAUCACAUAAUCUUAAAUGCUAACUUUGAGCUAAUUAUCCGAUAUCAAUAUUUUGAAUGGUCUCACUUUGGGAUCUUGUAGCUGAAGCGCAUUGUUUUUGGCCUCUACAUAUGCAAACAAUGAGAACGUAGGUGCCUUCGAUUCAUUUUAACUGGAGCUUCUUUGCUAAUGCAUUUGGAAAAUGCAAAGAGUCACGAAAUUUGAGUUUUAACAACUGCUCCACCAGCACACCAAAUGUAUUUUUGGCUGGUUUGUUUUUAUGCACAUAUCAUCAGUGGCAGAGCUGGCGACAAUGGCAUCAUAUAGGUGUGACCUUUGGGUAGGAUGUACCUGCAUGAUAGCAUGACCCUCAUCAUAAUGUCCUAUAUAUUCGAAUUCAGGACGUCUUCUCUCUGUAAUUAAUCUCAGCUCAAAUUAAUUAAGAUGAGGCUAAUUAUCAUGACUCUUCCAGUUUUGGUGGUUAUGUCAGUUUUGACAGGUUUGGUGGAUCAAGGGGAGGGCACCAUGUGUGCAAGCACCUUCUUCUCAUCUAUUGUUCAGCUAAUACCUUGCAGACCAGCAGUUGUUCCUUUUAGCCCCAUCCCACCAAGUGAGACUUGCUGCAAUGCCCUCAAAGCUCUUGGCCAGCCUUGCCUAUGUGUGUUUGUCAAUGGCCCUUCGAUUUCUGGCGUCGAUCGUACCAUGGCAAUGCAGCUCCCAGAGAAGUGCAUUAUCAACUUUGAACCAUGUACUCUCUAGCUCCUCUCUGUUACUUAACACAACAGUGCUAAAAAAAAGGUUCCUGAAGCAAUAUUUUUCACCCAUUUGAUUAAAAUAUAUAUAUAUAUAUAUAUAUAUAUAUAUAUGGUUCUGCAUUUGCGGGCUUAUAAAAUGGGUUAUCAAAUUGACACCAACCUCCGCCAACAUUGGCAGGCUUGACUAAAAUGGUUCUGCAUCCAAAUUGGAUUUCAGCUGAAAAUUCAGCUUUCUUAUUAAUUUAAUAAUAAGAAAAAUGCUCACGUUAUUAUAAAUCUGGACCACGUGUUCUCGAACUUCUCGUGAGAGUCAAACGGAUCAACAGUCUUAAUUAUUUAUUGACAAUUCGACAAGGUUUGCUGGUCAUACUGGUCAACUAAACCUAAAGCCUUAAUUGAACAUGAUGUAAUAGAACAUGAUUGAACAUGAUUGAACGAAUUAACGACAUUAUCUAUCCUAACAAAUCAG